AGCCUAGCAAUUCCAUUCAAGGUGAAAGCAGCAGAAAAACCUGGAACGAUGACGUUCACGGUAGGAGAAGAUAUGACGCCAAGGGAGGGCAUAAUUUACUACACAGAUUACAAGACCUGUGCUGUUGCAGACUUGGAGUAUGAUGGACAUGUCUGUCUACUGUGGACCAGCAGAGAAGUAAAGGAUGCAGUACCUUAAGAAUGC
rnacentral:lncRNA from 1 species